GAGAAAGAGUUGAGAGACUUCGAGAGAGAGCAAGAAGAGCAAAGGCAAUAAGAGGAGGGAAUCGAUUUGUAUCAAGGUGGAAAUCAAGCAAGGUUUAGAUAUUUGUUCAAGUCCAUUAAGAAGGGAGCCAAGGAAGAAGCAAGGGGAAGUUAGUAUGGAAGAAAAAGCAAAAGCAAGAGCAAGUACUCCUAAGGGCAAGGGAGUAGUGAUCAGUGGAGUUUGAAGGUGCAGGAAGCGGACGAUCUUUUGUAUAUAUAUAUUUUGCUUAAAAUGCAUCUUAUUUUGAAGUGAAAAUAUAUUGUGUAUCUAUUUUGGUAUGUAAAUAUUCCUCCAUAAGGAGAUGGUUAAGGGCAGAUAAACCAUGGUAACUACUAUUGAAGGAAAUGAUCAAUAUUUUGAUAUAUAGUUAUUAUUUUGUCUAAAAUUAUAUGUAUCUGUAUAUGUAACUCGUUGUACGAGCCUAUGGCCAGAAUGUUGAAUGUUAGAUCCUACUGGCUAUAAUUGAUUUGA